UACGGAGGAGGCAAGCGUUAUCCGGAUUUACUGGGUGUAAAGGGCGUGUAGGCGGGAUAGCAAGUCAGAUGUGAAAUUCCGGGGCUUAACCCCGGCGCUGCAUCUGAAACUGUUAUUCUUGAGUGUCGGAGAGGAAAGUGGAAUUCCCAGUGUAGCGGUGAAAUGCGUAGAGAUUGGGAGGAACACCAGUGGCGAAGGCGGCUUUCUGGACGAUAACUGACGCUGAGGCGCGAAAGCGUGGGGAGCAAACAGG
rnacentral:rRNA from 1 species